rnacentral:rRNA from 1 species
AGUGAACGCUGGCGGUAGGCCUAACACAUGCAAGUCGAACGGCAGCACAGUAAGAGCUUGCUCUUACGGGUGGCGAGUGGCGGACGGGUGAGGAAUACAUCGGAAUCUACUUUUUCGUGGGGGAUAACGUAGGGAAACUUACGCUAAUACCGCAUACGACCUACGGGUGAAAGCAGGGGAUCUUCGGACCUUGCGCGAUUGAAUGAGCCGAUGUCGGAUUAGCUAGUUGGCGGGGUAAAGGCCCACCAAGGCGACGAUCCGUAGCUGGUCUGAAAGGAUGAUCAGCCACACUGGGACUGAGACGCGUUCCAGACUCCUACGGUAGGCAGCAGUGGGGAAUAUUGGACGAUGGGGGCGAGCCUGAUCCAGGCAUACCGCGUGAGUGAUGAAGGCCUUCGGGUUGUAAAGCCCUUUUGUUGGGAAAGAAAGGCAGCAGGUUAAUACCCCGCGGUUCUGACGGUACCCAAAGAAUAAGCACCGGCUAACUUCGUG